UGGAUUUACGUGGCAAGAUUUUGAUAGCAAGGGGCCAUAGGUGUGGCUUCUGUGAGAAGGAUCUAGAAGCUGCUUCAUGUUUGGUAAGGGCCCCACUGCUGACCAGAGCUGAGCCAAUAAGUGAUGUUGUUUUCUGCCUCUGUGAGUGCAUAUUUAAGACAGGAAACAAAUGCUGCACCACACAGCAGCUGGGAGAGUCAAGGGAGUGAGGAUCAGCCUUACAGGUGCCAAGAUCAGUAAAGAAGGAGGGGGAGAGGUGCUCCAAGCACCGGAGCAGAAGUCCCCUGGGGCCUGUGGUGAGGACCAUGGUGAAGCAGGCUGUCCCCCUGCAGCCCAUGGAGUACCACGGUGGAGCAGGG